CCCCUCUUUUCAGAACUUGUGCAGAUGCCUGAAGCCAGUGCCUGGCUCUCUGGUUCUCCCUCCCCUUCUGCCACACCUGGAAGCUCAUUUUGAACUUCUCAAGAAUCUUCUAGCAUUCUAGUCCUCACAGUUAGCCAGGUGGAGCCCCCUGCACCUCUCCUUGUCUCUCUUCUAAUGCUCAGAGCCAAAGAAAAUCCCUCCCAACUAUGAGUAAGCAGGUUCUCUGCUGGGCAACCUUCUGUCUCCUUGCUGUAGGAACCACACAUGGUGGCAUCAUUAGUCAGACACCCAAAUUCCUGAUUGGUCAGGAAGGGCAAAAACUGACCUUGAAAUGUCAACAGAAUUUCAAUCAUGAUUCAAUGUACUGGUACCGACAGGAUUCAGGGAAAGGAUUGAGACUGAUCUACUAUUCAAUAACUGAAAAAGAUCUUCAAAAAGGCGAUCUAUCUGAAGGCUAUGAUGCAUCUCGAGAGUCGAAGUCAUCUUUUGCUCUCACUGUGACAUCUGCCCAGAAGAACGAGAUGGCUGUUUAUCUCUGUGCCAGCAGUAUUCAAGACACCCAGUACUUUGGGCCAGGCACUCGGCUCCUGGUGUUAGAGGAUCUGAGAAAUGUGACUCCACCCAAGGUCUCCUUGUUUGAGCCAUCAGAAGCAGAGAUUGCUGACAAACAAAAGGCUACCCUCGUGUGCUUGGCCAGGGGCUUCUUCCCUGACCACGUGGAGCUGAGCUGGUGGGUGAAUGGCAAGGAGGUCCACAGUGGGGUCAGCACAGACCCCCAGGCCUACAAGGAGAGCAAUAACAGCUACUGCCUGAGCAGCCGCCUGAGGGUUUCUGCGACCUACUGGCACAAUCCUCGCAACCACUUCCGCUGCCAAGUGCAGUUCUAUGGGCUUGAAGAGGAGGACAAGUGGCCAGAGGGCUCAACCAAACCUGUCACACAGAACAUCAGUGCAGAGGCCUGGGGCCGAGCAGACUGUGGAAUCACCUCAGUAUCCUAUCGUCAGGGGGUUCUGUCUGCCACCGUCCUCUAUGAGAUCCUACUGGGGAAGGCCACCCUGUAUGCUGCGCUGGUCAGUGCCCUGGUACUGAUGGCCAUGGUCAAGAAAAAAAAUUCGUGACACAAACUUUUAUGCAUCCUGAGCUGUUCUUCACCCCGGCCAUAGAUUUUUCCUGCACCUUCUCUAAUUCCUGUUCCUAAGAACUUGUCUCUUCUUCCUCCAUGAAUAUCCAUCCUUCCUCAUUGACACUUUGACUCUGAAACAGACUAAAUCAAUAAAAAUAUGGAGUU